rnacentral:misc_RNA from 1 species
CUGGCCGAGAUGGUGGCGGGGGUGAUCGUGAAGUGUACGUACGGGCAACGGCAUCGGCUUUAUUCGGCUCAGCGGCGCGUGGGUGUUGUUUACAGUGCCUCGUGUGUCCCAUGGCUCUCUAAACUUUGCUGGCCCGCCUCCCCUGGCUCCUGCUGACGAUACACUGGUAUUGAGGAGUGCCAAACUUUGCCGUCACAAUGUACCUCUACAACCUGACCCUGCAGCGUGCCUCGGGGAUCACUCAUGCUGUCCACGGCAACUUCUCUGGUGCCAGGACACAGGAGCUGGUGGUGUCCCGUGGCCGCUCACUGGAACUGUUGCGCCCGGACCCCAACACUGGCAAGGUCCAUACCAUCCUUACCACGGACAUAUUUGGAGUCAUACGCUCCCUUAUGGCCUUCAGGCUCACCGGAGGCAACAAAGAUUAUGUAGUUGUUGGUUCAGACUCGGGCAGAAUUACAAUCCUUGAAUAUAAUCAGUCCAAGAACCAGUUUGAGCGCAUCCAUAUGGAGACGUUUGGCAAGAGUGGGUGUCGUCGCAUCGUGCCUGGCCAGUAUCUUGCCAUUGAUCCCAAGGGCCGUGCUGUUAUGAUUGGGGCUGUAGAGAAGCAGAAGCUAGUGUACAUCCUGAAUCGUGAUGCAGCUGCCAGACUCACUAUCUCGUCUCCUCUAGAGGCCCACAAGUCCAACACACUUGUAUAUCACAUGGUUGGAGUGGAUGUGGGCUUUGAAAACCCUCUCUUUGCCUGCUUGGAGAUUGACUAUGAGGAAGCUGACACAGACCCAACAGGAGAAGCCGUCCAUCGCACUCAACAGACUUUAACUUUCUAUGAGCUGGACCUCGGACUCAACCAUGUGGUCAGGAAGUAUCAUGAACCAUUGGAGGAACAUGCCAACUUCCUUAUAUCUGUACCAGGUGGCAACGAUGGUCCCUCCGGUGUCUUGGUCUGCUCAGAGAAUUACAUCACCUACAAAAAUCUUGGUGACCAGCCUGACAUUCGCUGCCCCAUCCCCAGACGCAGGAAUGACUUGGAUGAUCCUGAGAGAGGAAUGAUCUUCAUCUGUGCCGCCACACACAAGACUCGCUCCAUGUUCUUCUUCCUCGCCCAGACAGAACAGGGUGAUAUCUUUAAGAUCACCUUAGAGACAGAUGAAGAUGUGGUGACUGAGAUCAAGCUGAAGUACUUUGACACUGUUCCACCGGCCACUGCUAUGUGUGUGCUCAAGACAGGCUUUCUCUUUGUUGCCUCAGAGUUUGCCAACCAUUAUCUAUACCAGAUUGCACACUUGGGAGAUGACGAUGAUGAACCGGAAUUCUCAUCAGCAAUGCCCUUGGAGGAGGGUGACACUUUCUUCUAUGCUCCCCGUCCACUGCAGAACCUGGUGUUGGUGGAUGAGCUGGACUCACUGUCUCCCAUCAUGGCCUGCCAGAUUGCUGACUUGGCCAAUGAGGACACACCACAGCUGUACACUGCCUGUGGUCGUGGGCCGAGGUCUUCCCUACGAGUGCUGCGUCACGGACUGGAGGUUAGCGAGAUGGCUGUGUCUGAACUGCCCGGCAACCCCACUGCUGUGUGGACUGUGAGGAAGAGGAGUGAAGAUCGCUUUGACUCUUACAUCAUGGUGUCUUUCGUCAAUGCCACUCUUGUGCUGAGCAUCGGAGAGACGGUAGAGGAAGUGACGGACUCAGGCUUUCUGGGUACCACGCCCACAUUGGCUUGUUCCCAGCUGGGUGAUGAUGCUCUGGUGCAGGUUUACCCGGAUGGCAUCAGGCAUAUCCGAGCCGACCGUCGAGUGAAUGAGUGGAAGGCUCCCGGCAAGAAGACCAUCGUUCGCUGUGCCCUCAAUCAACGGCAAGUAGUCAUUGCACUCACUGGAGGAGAGAUUGUGUACUUUGAAAUGGACCCGACAGGACAGUUGAAUGAGUAUACAGAACGGAAGGAGAUGAAAAGUGACGUCAUCUGUAUGGGUGUGGGUCGCGUCUCGGCUGGAGAGCAGCGGUCAAGGUUCUUGGCUGUUGGACUGUCAGACAACACUGUUAGGAUCAUCAGUCUGGACCCAAAUGACUGCUUGACUUUGCUGGGCAUGCAAGCAUUGCCAGCUCUGCCUGAGUCACUUUGCAUCAUUGAAAUGGGUGGCCAGGAGUCGGUUGAUGGUGAACCUCGUACUCUAGGAUCACUCUAUCUCAACAUUGGCCUGCAGAAUGGUGUGUUGCUUCGAACGGUCCUGGAUGGCGUGACGGGUGACAUGUCGGACACCCGUACUCGAUACCUUGGCUCACGGCCGGUCAAGCUCUUCCGAAUCAUCAUGCAGGGCAAUGAGAGUGUCCUGGCAAUGUCAUCUCGGUCGUGGCUCAGCUAUUACUAUCAGAACCGUUUCCAUCUCACUCCUCUGUCAUAUGAGAGUCUGGAGUAUGCGGCAGGCUUCUCCUCAGAGCAGUGUCCUGAAGGCAUUGUUGCUAUCUCAACUAACACCCUCAGAAUUUUGGCUCUGGAGAAGCUGGGAGCUGUCUUCAAUCAGGUGUCUCAUCCUUUAGAAUACACACCUCGCAAGUUUGUGAUCCACCCAGAGAGUGGACACCUGUUACUCAUAGAGACAGACCACAAUGCCUACACAGAGGACACCAAACGACAGAGGAAGAUGCAGAUGGCAGAGGAAUUGAGAGAAGCAGCUGGAGAGGAGGAGGCUGAGGUGGCUGAGAGGAUGGCUGAGGCACUGCUGUCUGAGGACCUCCCUGAUGCAGUGUUUGGUGCGGCCAAGGCUGGACCAGGCAUGUGGGCAUCCUUGGUGAGGGUGAUUGAGCCCAUCCAAGGCAAGACACUUCACACCAUUCACCUGGAGCAGAAUGAGGCAGCCUUCAGCAUUGGCCUGGUUAAAUUUGCCAACCAGCCUGACAUGGACCAGCAGUUCCUCCUGGUUGGGACAGCACGAGACUAUCAGUUGAGUCCCCGGCAUGUUGAGUGUGGCUACAUAUAUUGCUACAGGGUGGCAGCAGACUGCACAUCGCUGGAGCUGGUUCACCGCACAGAGGUGGAAGACAUUCCCACCUCCAUCUGUGCCCACAGUGGCCGUGUGCUGAUUGGUGUGGGCCGACUCCUCAGGAUUUAUGACCUAGGAAAGAAAAAACUAUUGAGGAAAUGUGAGAAUAAGCACAUUCCAAACCUCAUAGUGGACAUCAAGGCACGAGGACAGAGGGUGUAUGUGACGGACGUACAGGAGAGCCUGUUUGUGCUUCGCUACAGACGCCAUGAGAACCAGCUCAUCAUAUUUGCAGAUGACACAAACCAGCGAUGGGUGACAACAUCUUGUCUCCUUGACUAUGAUACAGCUGCUCUCGCUGAUAAGUUUGGCAAUGUGGCUGUGGUCCGUCUGGGUAAUGAUGUCAAUGAUGACGUGGAUGAAGACCCAACAGGCAACAAGGCACUGUGGGACCGAGGGCUGCUGAAUGGAGCGUCACAGAAGGCAGAGGUGGUGGCCAACUUCCACGUGGGAGAAACCAUCAACACUUUAGAGAAAGCCACACUCAUUCCGGGAGGCAGCGAGUCCCUUGUGUACACCACACUGAGUGGCACAGUUGGUGUCUUGGUUCCAUUCACAUCACGGGAGGAUCAUGAACUUUUCCAGAACCUUGAGAUGCACAUGAGAUCUGAACAUCCUCCUCUGUGUGGCCGGGAUCACCUCUCCUUCAGGUCUUACUUCUUCCCUGUUAAGAAUGUGAUUGAUGGUGACCUGUGUGAGCAGUUCAACAUGGUUGACUCAGUCAAACAACGGUCCAUUGCUGAAGACUUAGACAAAACUCCCAAUGAACUUUCCAAGCGACUGGAAGAUAUCAGGACCAGAUAUGCCUUCUAAGGUGGAAGGUUGUGCAACGUCUCUUACACCGCCCUCCUUGCCUUGAUGUUUUGGUGUUGGCGGUGUUAGCAGCAACAGCGGCAGCAGCAGCGGUGGUGGUGGCCAGCCACAAACUGGCUCAGAGUGGGCUGGUCAUAUUCGGUCCCAUGGUAUCGGGGGCGUUUUUCGUUAAGUAUUUCUCCAGCUUAGCGAGAAUGUGCUUCCCUGUUUGGGGAGGAAAGCAUACGUAAAAGGGACUGCAGUGACAACAUUCUACAAUAAUCUAACAGAAAUGGAUGUGAGCAAAUGAUCAAGUACAGAGUUAAUCCAGCGAGAGAAACGUGUGGAAGUGACAUUCAGUAACAAGCGACAACAAUAAUCCAAUUGAAAACAAGCACAAAUGAAAGAUGGAGUAGAAGAAUAAUACAAGUGAGAACAAAUCAGGACCGUACCGUAAGUGUACUUGCGAAGUGUUGAGAUGUGGGGUCGUAUCUUGUGCAUGAGCAUCUUGCGCUGUGCUGGCUCGGCUACGUCAAUCAUCUUCUGCACUACAUAGUUGGCAUACUGAUCCUUCAUCAGCACUAACAGGGAGCUGUGGGCACUGUCACUAUACCCACACACCUACAGAAAACAACCAACAAUAUGUGUCAAUUGUCAUAGGGGUGGACACAUACUGAAUUUAAUUGAGCAACAUUUCUGUAUUGCUGACUGAAUGUACUUUUCCUCAUUGUUGAAAUAAAGCACAUGUGUAUUUAUAUGAGAGAGAGAGAGAGAGAGAGAGAGAGAGAGAGAGAGAGAGAGAGAGAGAGAGAGAGAGAGAGAGAGAGAGAGAGAGAGAGAGAGAGAGAGAUUCCUAUCUUUUGAGCUCAUGAGUCUGUUAAAUUAGAGACAGACACACUAGUACAGGGAACAAAUAAUACUAAUAGGAGGACAGAUACACAACACACAAAGUAUUUAAUUCCUGACCUCCUCAAUCAGCAUGGCCCGCUCUGCACGUGUGGCAUGAGUGACACAUUUCUCUACAACAUUGGAGGCAAACUUGUGUUGAGAAAGUUUCAGCACUCCUCCUCUCACCACACCGACAAUCUUACUCUUGUCCUCUGGUUUUCCAUGUUCUGUAACACAUGCAGAGAAAAAUAAAAGCUACAAAUCAA